CACUCUGGGGAUGUGAGAAGCCAGAGAGUGGUCUGUGGAAACUUCCAGGCCUGGUAUCAUAAGAAGACGGAAGUCAUGCUUAUUUACUCUCCAGACUAAUAAAAAUCCUUCCAGAGCCUUCCGGAAAAAUCUCGGUGAGGAAAUGGAAUACAUGCACGUUUACAUUCCUCUUAACGUCCCCAGCAGGAUCUCCUUGUCAGGCAAACUAGGCUUUCCCAAGACUUUCCCUCAAUCGCCUUGGGGCAGAGCCUGAGAAGCCUGACUCCUCCCUGUGGGCCUGAGGGGCAGCCUGGAGGGCGGGUCAAACAUGAUUCUUGAGAACCUUGCAGCAAACUGCCCUUCAAAGCUGCCCGUGCCAGCCAACACCAGGAGUGACCUCCAGGAAACGAAAGGGCACGUGACAGGGGUCCUCUCUGAGUGUUCAAAGCUGAUGAUAACGGAACAGCAAAGCUCUGCUUUCCCGGAGGUCACUAUCCAGAUACUUCAGGAAUCCAGAAUUCAGCGAGAACUAAGCAAAAGGAAUUUUGAACAAGCAAGGUGGACACUGCCCAGGCGCAUCUGGUUUGAGAGGCAGGAAUCCAACCAGAGGAGCCAGGAAAAUUCCAACACGGGGCGGGCCCAAGAAAAAUCCUGAGAAGUCUGAAGAGAGCUGGCCACGUGGACCUGAGAGCCUUGGACCACUUUGCUUGUCAUACCAGAUGUGCCUUCCCUUGGCACCUCCGGCCUAGGGCCUCUGGCUUUGGCUCCAUCAGUGCGUUUCCUCCCUGGGGGUGGAGAGUGACUGACCAGGUGUGAUCACAGGGGAGGAAGCCGUGAGCUCCCCCUAGUGGCCAUCGCCGAGCACGUGGACAAGGGGCCUCCUGGGGCUGUUGCUGCCCACACCCCGACCCCAACUCCGCUUGUCCUGUCCUCUCUGACCCUGCUUUCCAAACCUGGCCACUGCUCCUUACACAAGGCCAGAGACCAUAAAUUAUAGAUCCGUGGCUAUAAUUUAUUUGGCCAGCACAAAGUUACAGAAAAAGUUUAUUGUGCACCAGUACUUAAACAUCAGAUUUGACAUAAAAAUCCAGAUACACGAUUUCUCUUGAAAAAUCAGAAACUCUGGCAACACUGAGCUUGGGGUCCUGCAUGACAACAGUUGGUGAGAACAGUUUACAAAACAAACAAAAAUUCCUGUCCUCAAGGAGCUUAUGGUCUAGUGGGGGUAGGGAGAAACAGCUGCUCAGGUCAAUUACGAUGCACAUGGAGGAGGUCAGACCACGCAGGGCUGAUGGGUCACUUAAAGGAUCUCAGUACUCUGUGUAGGAAGCCACUGGAGUGUUUUGAGGAGUCUAGGGGUGUGAUCUUAUUUACACUUGACUAGGUCGUUCUGGCUGCUAGAAUGUUGUAGACUGUACGGGGUCCGGGGCAGAAGCAGGAGGUUCCCCUUAGGACGCUGUUGUGAUACCGUAGGCGGGAGGUGAGGGUGCCUUGGACUAGGGUGGUGUCAGUCGAGGAGAUUGGAAAUGGUUGGUUCCACAGAGAAUUUUUUUUUUUUAUAAUUUUAUUUAUUUAUUUAUUUAUUCCCCCAAAGCCCCAGUAGAUAGUCGUAUGUCAUAGUUGCACAUCCUUCUAGACGCGGCCUCAGCGUGGCUGGAGAAGCGGUGCGUCGGUGCACGCCCGGAUCCGAACCCCGGGCCGCCAGCAGCGGAGUGCGCGCACUUAACCGCUAAGCCACGGGGCCGGCCCUCCACAGAGAAUUAAACUCCCUCAAGCAUGUACAAAGGCGUGCCCCGUUUCUCCUGAUUUCUGCUCCUGCCCAGGCAGAGGGUCCCUGGUUGCAGCCGCUUCAGCUGUAGCCCGCGUGUAUUCAUUAUCCACUGGAACUAAGAGUCUCCCUCAACUUCUCCAUAGAGGGGUGACCCCCCCAAGUCUUCAUAGGUAGCCCACAUUUCUGCCGUUCCAGGGGGUGACUCACCAGGACCCAGAAGAAUACCAGCUCUAUAUCACAACAUUUAGAAGACCAAGCAAAGCCCGACCCCAGUUGCCGCCCUGGCCAUGGUCCGACAUGUGGGAACAGCAAGCAAGCAGGCCUCCGCCUGGCCCCUCAUGUCCCUGAAUCCCUUGACAGUGUGGUUCUGGGUUAGCACGUGCCGAUGGGAGGCCCUGGUGUGAGAUUUGGAAGAGAGAAGAGCAGCAGAAACCAUCGCUAUCUAGUGGCACUGGACUCAUCCUGCAGCAACGUUCCUUGUCACCCAGUCACCUUCCAGAGCUCGCCCACUUGGGUACUGCCGGCUGCUGAGAACAUUGGUGAGACCGUGCCCUGGGAUCCCCACACUUGGUCAUUUCCUGGAGCGACCUUCCUGACCUUCCCUCCCCAUGCUUCUGUUUCCUCUAAUAAACCUUUUGGUCCCCUAAAUACCUUGAGUGGCUUCCACUUUCCAGGCUGAGCACUGACUGAUGCACUCUCAUAAUCUCCCACGAGAAAGACGGUAAGAUUCUUGCGAGCUACCUCAGCAAGCACCAGCCAGCCGGCCCCGUGCACUCCAUUCACCUCCGCCCAGGCCUCCCCCUGCUUUAGUGCUUCCACCCGGCUCAUGGCCUGAAUGUCCCUCCUCAAGAAGAUUCCUCGGGGACGCCUUCUCUGGCCAUGACCCUGAAAUGUAAACUGCUCACUGCCCUGCUAAAUACUCAACUGCUAGCUCCACUGUUUUUCCCUUCAUACAAUUUAUCCCCAUGUAUUUGUUUGAUUAUUCAGCAACUGCUGGCCUCUCUCAGUAGACGACAGGGCAGGCAGCCUUGCCCACUGUGGUGUUCUGUGCCUGACAGAGCCUGGAGCUCGGAUGUACAUGGUGAAGCAAUUUGUGAAAUGAAUGGACGACAGGUACUGGGUAAAUCAUUUGUUGCAUUGAAUUGCAUCAACAGUCAGCAUCCACUGAGCACACAGGGUAACGUCAGCUCAGUGACAGGCUCUGUGGGAGAGGUAAAAAAUAAAUAAUCAACAAAUGGAUGUGAAGGAUUAGGCAUUGCGAAGACACGUGUUCCAUUAUGGCCACCAAAAUCUCUCCCGUCCCAUCUGUCAUCGACUAAGUGCCCCGAGGGACUCAAGGGUGGGUUUGAAAGCGUUUAACUUUAAGAGAUGCAAUCACCAACCACCCUGAACAAGACCAAGCGCCCCCACAAUAGGCACGCCUAUGACCUUUGCCUCAUUUUUAACGCUAAGAUCUCCUCUCCAGGAGGAGCUUAGGCCUUAUGACCACAACCUGCAGUGUAUGUGGAAACAUGUCUUCCAACUGAGCCUGUGCAAGCGAAUGCCCACCUCUCCCUUUUGAAUAUUCAUUCCCCAACUGAAAUAAAAGUCUCCUGCUUUCCCAUGUUCAGGGACAGCCACGACUUUGAAAGUGAUUCCGUGUGGCCUCCUAUUUGCUGCAAAUAAGUUCUACUUUGUGCGUCAACUACUUCUGGUUGAGAGUCUGAUUGUAACUCCCCAGGAGGCGAACCACUUUUGGUUCAGUACACGUCUGGUUACAAUGCAACCGUGACAUUCCUUCUAUCAAAAGGUGGCUCUAUGUCCCCGUCUCUUGAAAUUAGUUGGGCUUUUGUACCUAUUUUGACCAACAGAGAUGCAGAAAGGUCAUAACAAACAAUAUAGCUGCCACCUCACUCUGGAAAACUCGCUUGUGGAGUUUUCAGCCAUGAGCAGUGCAGCUGCCCCCAGGCCACCAUGCUGUGGGGAAGGCCGAAGGCGCCACAUGGAGAGGCCCUGAGACUCCUUGACAAAAGCUGC